GUUGAUUAGUGAGAAUGCAGACACGAGUAGCGAUAAAGAAGGUUAAAAUCCUUCUCGCCGUAAACCCAAGGUUUUCUGGGGCAGGUUCGACCUCCCAGAGUUAGCCGGGAGCUAAGACGAGGCCGUAAGGCGUAGUUGAUGCACAGCAGGUUAAUAUUCCUGCGCCCGCUAGGUUAAGGCUGGUAAUGACACAUGGGAACACCCCAACUAGGCUAUCGAAUGCUGAGCUGAGGCUUCGGCCAAAGCGUAUUGGUGGGUUCCUGUGUCUAGAAAAGUUGCCAGUUGUUCCCGAAGUGGCCCGUACCGUAAACCGACACAGGUGGGUGAGUGUAAAUGCACUAAGGCGAUCGAGAGAGACCUCUCUAAGGAACUCGGCACAUUAGCCUCAUAACUUAGGGAAAAGAGGUGCUCACAUUUAUGUGAGUCACAGCAAAUAGCGUUUAGCGACUGUUUAACAAAAACACAGCUCUCUGCAAAGUCGUUAAGACGACGUAUAGGGAGUGACAAGUUACCAAUGCGGAAAGAUUAAGAGAUCUUGUUAGCCGCAAGGCGAAGCUCGGUCUUUAAGUCCCCGUGAAUGUCGGCCGUAACUAUAACGGUCCUAAGGUAGCGAAAUUCCUAUCGGGUAAGUUCCGACCUGCAAAUCUUGUAACGACUGAACGACUGUCUCGGAGAGGAUCUCGGCGAAACUGUAUUGGCGGUGAAGAUGCCGCCUACCCGCAGUAGGACGGAAGGACCCUAUGCACCUUUACUGUAAGCUCGUAUUGGGUUCUGGUUUAUUAUGCUUAGCGUAGGUGGGAGACUUUGAAGCACUGAUCCCGGUCAGUGCCGAGUCGUCAAUGAAACACCACUCUUGAUAAAUUAGAAUCCUAACUUCAUCCUGUCAUCCAGGUGAAGGACAUUGCGUGCAGGUCAGUUUGACUGGGGCGGUUUCCUCCCAAAGAGUAACGGAGGAGCGCUAAGGCACUCUCAGCACAGUUAGCAACUGUGUGUCGAGCGGAUGGGUAUAUGAGUGCUUAACUGUGCGACAAACAAGUCAAUCAGGUACGAAAGUAGGCCCAAUUGAUCCGACGGUUGAAUGUGGAAUUGCCGUCGCUCAUCGGACAAAAGGUACGCUAGGGAUAACAGGCUGAUCGGAGCCAAGAGUUCAUAUCGACGCUCCGGUUUGGCACCUCGAUGUCGGCUCAUCGCAUCCUGGGGCUGGAGAAGGUCCCAAGGGUCCGGCUGUUCGCCGGUUAAAGCGGUACGCGAGCUGGGUUCAGAACGUCGUGAGACAGUUCGGUCCUUAUCCACUGUGGGCGGAAGAAACUUGAGGGGUUCUAAUUCUAGUACGAGAGGACCGGAUUAGACGCAUUUCUGGUGUGGCAGUUGUCUUUUCAAAGGCAUCGCUGCGUAGCCAUGUGCGGAAGAGAUAAGCGCUGAAAGCAUCUAAGUGCCAAGCUCAUCCCAAGAUAAUGUUUCUUAGGACGCAAGUCCAUAAACAUCCCGGCAGACUACCGGGUUGAUAGGCCAGGCAUGUAAACGCUGUGAGGCGUGUGUGUACUGGUACUAAUGAUGUGUAGCCUUGAGCAA
rnacentral:rRNA from 1 species